rnacentral:rRNA from 1 species
CCUACGGGUGGCAGCAGUGAGGAAUAUAGGUCAAUGGACGAGAGUCUGAACCAGCCAAGUAGCGUGAAGGAUGACUGCCCUAUGGGUUGUAAACUUCUUUUAUAUGGGAAUAAAACGUUCCACGUGUGGGAUUUUGUAUGUACCAUAUGAAUAAGGAUCGGCUAACUCCGUGCCAGCAGCCGCGGUAAUACGGAGGAUCCGAGCGUUAUCCGGAUUUAUUGGGUUUAAAGGGAGCGUAGGUGGAUUGUUAAGUCAGUUGUGAAAGUUUGCGGCUCAACCGUAAAAUUGCAGUUGAAACUGGCAGUCUUGAGUACAGUAGAGGUGGGCGGAAUUCGUGGUGUAGCGGUGAAAUGCUUAGAUAUCACGAAGAACUCCGAUUGCGAAGGCAGUUCACUGGACUGCAACUGACACUGAGGCUCGAAAGUGUGGGUAUCAAACAGGAUUAGAUACCCCUGUAGUC